rnacentral:lncRNA from 1 species
GGAGGUGAUUAUAAGCAUGUAAGUCUCAUACUCACUUUUUUCUUUAGCACCACCUGCCUCCUGAAUCACUGCCCAGUUGCCAGCUGCAAGUACUAGCUCCAAAGUAAGUCUGCCCAAUUCCAAAAUUCUGGUUGACUCAGCCAACCUUCAUGUUCACCCAGGACUUACUUAAGCAUCCAAAAUGACUUAAAAUGUAGAUUUCCUCAUCGAAAGAUAUCUGCACCUGGUAAAUGAUGCAAAGGGCAAAUGGGCAGAAAGGGCUCCUUUUAAUCAUGCCCAGUUUCAAUUUCACAUGCAUGUAACUUGUAUGGGAAAAUAAUAUCAUUAGAUUCAUCGUAACUUCACAAAAUCAACUAUCCAAUCAACUAUCUUGCAGAAAGGAAAUGUCCACAGCGCAAAGUCAGAAGGGAUGAAGCUGUCAGACAAUAGCAGAAGGAGCUGGUAUUCUGAAGUCAGGCACAGUUUACAUCAGCUUCAAGAUGAAUUUCAUUGGCACAGAGAGCGAGCGUUGCUCACUGCCAUAAGCCUCUCUAUCUAGGCUGAAGGAAAAGGAAAGUGGUGGUAUGCAGCGCCCACAAUAAUGUCAUCACUAAGGCUACUGGAGCACCUGCAACUGACCUUGGAGCCAGUGCUGCCACCACCAUUUGGAGAAGCCUGGAACUGACAUUUCUGCUGAUGCUACAGUAGCUCAGAAGACCUCUCUCACUGUGGCUGCUGGAACCAGAGCGCCUGAGCACUAUGCUGAUGGGGAUGACAGGGCACUCCCUUCUGCCGCUGCUGCUGGACUGCAUUGUCUGAGAGGAACCCACAAGCCUGCAUUCACCCUGUGCAGCUAUCACUACUAGGGGAGUCAGCAAAAACCUACAAUCGGAAGAAAGAUGGCUUCUUCUCUUCCUCUUGCCUCUCAGUCUCCUCUCCUGCAGUGCUUCCCAUGAAUAGAACCUAACCAGAAGAACUAGGCUGGCAAGGGAGUCUGUGAAAUGCAGUUUUUGAUCUUCUAUUCCCCUGCAGUAGACAGCCAAGCAGGAAAGGGCAGGAUGAAGCUGGCAGCAGACACACAAAUGCCCACACAUGCUUCUUUUAGUAAA